AUUCCAGCUCCAAUAGCGUAUAUUAAAGUUGUUGCAGUUAGAACGCUCGUAGUCGGAUUUCGGGGCGUUCCGACCGGUCUGCCGAUGGGUACGCACUGGUCGGCGCGUCCUUCCUUCCGGAGACCGUGCCUACUCUUAACUGAGCGGGGGCGGGAGACGGAUCGUUUACUUUGAAAAAAUCAGAGUGUUUCAAGCAGGCAGCUCGCUCUUGCAUGGAUUAGCAUGGGAUAAUGAAAUAGGACUUUGGUGCUAUUUUGUUGGUUUCGAACACCGAAGUAAUGAUUAACAGGGACAGUCAGGGGCACUCGUAUUCCGCCGAGAGAGGUGAAAUUCUCAGACCAGCGGAAGACGAACCACUGCGAAAGCAUUUGCCAGGGAUGUUUUCAUCA
rnacentral:rRNA from 1 species